AGCUUUAUAGCGCACUACACUUAUGUAGAGUAGAGUGCUGUGUGUUUAGUUACCCUCUGAAGGUGGAAACUCAGGUGGCCACGUCUCACAACCACAAAAUGUUCAAAAUUUCCACCAGGAACUUUCAAAAAGGAUAAAAAUAUUUAGUUACAAUACAGCCAUCAUUUAAGUUUGAAAGGUAGUGACCAACUGAUUUCCUGAUCACCAUUUGGCCCAUUCUUCAUCGACUGGCUGUGUGAAAUAGCACACUCAGUUCGGUCUUGUCCUGAUCAGAGAAACCCUCUUUGGCUCAGUUCAGCUCAGCCUGCAAUGUGUAAAGCACCUUCACAGUUUACUUUUUAUUUUUCCAAGUUCAAAAUAUCAGGGGUCAAAAUGUUUCGUAACGUUUCUUUUAUUUUGAGCUAUUUCCUAUUUUUUUAAUGGAAAACUGAAUUAAUAAUCCAUCAUGUACAAGGCACUUGGGGUGUGUUAAGGUGAUGUGUUGUCAUGUCUUUCUCAUAAGAUUACAUAAGUUUCAAUGAAUGAAAAUUCUGUCUAUUGGACGCAAAAAUACCACUUGGUUCCAGUGUGAGAGGACUGAUUACAUUUCCAGGGUGAGAAAAGUUUGUGCAAAGCUGGGUGUAUAGGGACAUUCAAAAAUUGAACGUAGUCGGUUCCAAUGUGAGAGCAGCCUAUGUGUAUAUGUUACAGAUUUUAGUAUGGUUAUAAUAAAAGAAAUGCUGUUGUGUUCGAUGACCAUAGUUAAUGUAAUCUUAAAGCUUAAGCUAUUAAA